AUUGAACGCUGGCGGCAUGCCUAACACAUGCAAGUCGAACGGCAGCACAGCAGUAGCAAUACUGUGGGUGGCGAGUGGCGGACGGGUGAGGAAUACGUCGGAAUCUGCCCAGUCGUGGGGGAUAACUAGCCGAAAGGUUAGCUAAUACCGCAUACGACCGAGAGGUGAAAGCGGGGGACCGCAAGGCCUCGCGCGAUUGGAUGAGCCGACGUCGGAUUAGCUAGUUGGCGGGGUAAAGGCCCACCAAGGCGACGAUCCGUAGCUGGUCUGAGAGGAUGAUCAGCCACACUGGAACUGAGACACGGUCCAGACUCCUACGGGAGGCAGCAGUGGGGAAUAUUGGACAAUGGGCGCAAGCCUGAUCCAGCAAUGCCGCGUGUGUGAAGAAGGCCUCGGGUUGUAA
rnacentral:rRNA from 1 species